UUUUUGAAAUGGAAUCUUGCUGUCUUGCCCAGGCUGGAGUGCAGUGGCACGAUCUCAGCUCACUGCAACCUCCGCCUCCCAGAGGUGGGAUUUCACCAUAUUGGCCAGGCUGGUCUCAAAACUCCUGACCUCAAGUGAUCCGUCUGCCUGGGCCUCCCAAAGUGCUGGGAUUACCGCCACCUUCUGGGUGAACCCCCAGUUCAAGAUCCGGCUGGAUGAGACGGAUGACCCGGACGACUACGGGGACCGCGAGUCAGGCUGCAGCUUCGUGCUCGCCCUUAUGCAGAAGCACCGUCGCCGCGAGCGCCGCUUCGGCCGCGACAUGGAGACUAUCGGCUUCGCGGUCUACGAGGUCCCUCCGGAGCUGGCGGGCCAGCCGGCCGUGCACUUGAAGCGUGACUUCUUCCUUGCUAAUGCAUCUCGGGCGCGCUCAGAGCAGUUCAUCAACCUGCGAGAGGUCAGCACCCGCUUCCGCCUGCCACCCGGGGAGUAUGUGGUGGUGCCCUCCACCUUCGAGCCCAACAAGGAGGGCGACUUCGUGCUGCGCUUCUUCUCGGAGAAGAGUGCUGGG
rnacentral:sRNA from 1 species